rnacentral:pre_miRNA from 1 species
NGUGGGAUAGCUGGUUCAAAUGGUGGUUCCAUUCUCAAUUUUCUGAGAAAUCCCCAUAUUGCUUUCCACAUUGGCUGCACCAAUUUGCAGUCCCACCAGCAAU